UGGAACCUGGGAUUCAAAUGGCCUGGCAGGAAGUGCUCUAGCAGAGGGACUCUGGCCUUGCAAGAGUCCCUAUUUCCCCCUUUUUUUUUGCUUUUCACACAGUAAAACCCUGCUUUACUUCCCUUUGAGUCGUCUGUGAGCCUAAAUUUUUGUGGCUGUGGGAAGGACAAGAACCCCAUCUUUAGCUGAAAUAAGGAAAAGUUCCGCAACAUUUUUGGCACACACCCUGGGGGCUCCGGAAGUGAAAGUUCCCAGGAGAUGAAGACAUUGAAACUGCCAUCAUAAAAUUAAUAAAAGGUUCAAGAUUAGAAUUAUGGUAUUGGCCUGGAUUUUGUUAAGACAGAGACAUAGGAUUAUGUUGGCUCGGAGAAUGAUACCUCAAAGGCUGGUGCUGAGAGUUCUUAGAAGCUGCUUCAGAAUCAAGUUGUCUUCUCCUCAUAGUCCUCCACUAAAGCCUGAACAACAAGGAAUGCUGUCGGAACUGGACCUUGAUGAAGGAAAUACUUUCUGACUCAUUGGAAUUUGUUAUAGUCAAAGUGUUUCCAGACCUAAGAAUAACAGGAACAUGGAGGAGUGGCAUCUCCAGUGUAGCCACCCACCAAAGCCUCAUCCUGAACACUAUGGCCUAGUGGGUCACUUACAGGGAUGUAGCUGGCAUUGAUGUAGUCAGAGCAAGGAUCAUCAUCUACAUUGGAGAGCUUCACUCGCGUGGCAUCAUCUGGAAGGAGAGAUUUGCUGCUGAGUCUUGGAGUGACUUUUCUACAGUUUAUGUGAUGUGUGUGAUGUGCCUUAGCUCUGAUCCCCACAACAGCCACAGAUGGGAAGUGAUCUUAUCUCCAUUUUGCAGAUGAGGCUCAGGCAGGAUAACUAACUUGCCCCAUGUUGCAUAGGUGGCCUAUAACCAGUCAGACACAGGAGACAACAUGAAGCCCCAUCUGUGCUUCCCUUUCUGACAUUACCACAUUUGCCUGAUGGAGUGGCCAGCUCCCUUUCACUGCUGGAAUGAAUACAAUCCAGAAAACCUACCUUCUAUUGCUUUACCUAAUGGGGUAAGGAAAUUUAAGUAGAAAUUGCUAACCGAAGACUUUGCUAAGCAAACCCAGGUCUGCUUGAUGUCAGAGCCCUUGCUGUUAACCCCAUUUACUGCUUAGCCUCCAAAGAGAAGCAAUAGCAUCACAUGGGGAAAUGUCAACAGCAUAAGAGGACUUUCAUAAUCAGAAUUUAAACUGGCUAUUAUCCCUCUGGAGGGAAGUGCAGGAAUAUACAAGCUAUUUCUUAUUAAAGGCAUUCAGAGCUUG
rnacentral:lncRNA from 1 species